UUGCGGAUAUCUCCCUCAUAUAUGACCUGACAAUGGAAUAAAAGCUCAACAACAGGUUCAUACAUGACUUGAAUAGUAUUGAACAACAAGGAAAAACUCUUAAGAACAGGUUCAUAUAUGACGUGACACUGGAAUAAGGCUCAACAACAGGUUCAUAUAUGACCUGAAUAGUAUUGAACAACAGGUUCAUAUAUGACCUGACAAUGGAAUAAAAGCUCAACAACAGGUUCAUACAUGACCUGAAUAGUAUUGAACAACAGGUUCAUAUAUGACCUGACAAUGGAAUAAAAGCUCAACAACAGGUUCAUACAUGACCGGAAUAGUAUUGACCAACAGGUUCAUAUAUGACCUGACAAUGGAAUAAGGCUCAACAACAGGUUCAUAUAUGACCUGAAUAGUAUUGAACAACAGGUUCAUAUAUGACCUGACAAUGGAAUAAAAGCUCAACAACAGGUUCAUACAUGACCUGAAUAGUAUUGACCAACAGGUUCAUAUAUGACCUAACAAUGGAAUAAGGCUCAACAACAGGUUCAUAUAUGACCUGAAUAGUAUUGAACAACAGGUUCAUAUAUGACCUGAUAAUGGAAUAAGGCUCAACAACAGGUUCAUACAUGACCUGAAUAGUAUUGAACAAACAGGUUCAUAUAUGACAUGAUAAUGGUCAACAACAAUUGGACUCUUAACCGUAAGUAAUGGAUUGUAACCAACUUUUAACGGAUUUUGCCAACAACAAUUGGACUUGAAAAUGACUGCGAAAACCGGAUGUUGGUUUAAGGGCACCAAAGAUGAACUAGAGUUAGAGGUCAAAGGAUAUAGGAUCAACAAUAAGACCUGGGUCAAUGCAAAAUGAGCACGGAGUACAUUUCGGCUAUGCAUGAUUUGAAUGCAUUAUGCAUGAUAUGUGAAUGAUCAUGAUAUGCAAUGCUGACAAUAGGCAGACUGGGAGUUUGAAGGGACUGCUUACAGAGAUUCUGAUUCCUCAACACCAAGAACUCAACCAAAUAUUUAUGAUAGAUGUUGUCAAAGGAGAAUUUUAUCCAGCUUGACGGCCACAACUUAGCAAAUGGGAUCCUUUUGGAGAAUUAAUGAAUCAUGCUAGCAUAAUUUCCGGGCACUUGUCUUAAACUCAAUAGUUGUUGACAUAUGGCAGAAUUUGUUUGAGCAAUUUGAAAAUAUGAAGGGGGUCUGCCCCUCUGUGGCUCAUCUUGCCCCAGUCUGUUGGGACUUUGGAAAUGUUCACCUUGAAAGUGAGUUUGGAAAUAACUUGUCAUGAGACUACCUCGAGAUGGCUUACCCCAAGUGUUUGAAACUUGCAAUGGUCUGAACUUGACUAACCAAAUGUUGGAAUGGUACACUCUUGAUUGACUAUCCUUUGGAUAGUUGGACUCAUUGAGCUCUGAGGUGGAUUGCCCCGGUCUGAGUCUUGAAACAAAUUACUCUUGACUAGAUGACCCUUAUGGUGAUUAGCUUGAAUUGAAUGAUCCUCAAAGUGAUUUCCCCUGUUUGGACUUCUUUCACUUUAUCAAGUUCCUCAACUGUGUAUUAUUGGAAUUUCUUCGAUGCUAAGUGUUGACUCACAAAUAAGAUUGUGCAUUCAAAAAAUGGUAAUUUUAAUGCAAUGUUUAUGCAAAAAUUUGAACUCAAAGUUUAUUGAUAUGAAUGGGUGAAAUACAGUGAACGAGUCGUUGAUAAGAACACAAUGGUGAUCAAGUCAUUCAUAGUAUGCAAGUUGGUGCCAUCAAAUGAUUUAACAAAAAUCGUUUGGAGUCAGGUUAACACAACCUUGUUGUAGUAUGCUUUCAAAAUAAACCCUGUCUCAAUUAGGUCUUUUAAGGGUUGUAACGUGGUCUGGUUCACGGUUUUUUGAAACAAAAGGAUAUAAGGCUCAAAAUUUAUUUUUACCAACCCCUUCUUCUUGAUGAUCUCCAGAUCCUACGUUCAGCUAAUUCGAUACACGCAUUCGACUUCUAAGAGGGUUCGAAGGUGUGAUGAUAAAGAUGAGGGUUCAAGAUAGAUUUCCUUGAAUGACAGUCACCUUGUUUUGUUUUUGUUGAGGAUUUAGUGACCUCUUUUGAUUGAUUUUCCUUAUCUCUAAUUUUGCCUGGAUUGCUUCUUUGAAGCUUUCAGUCCAUCGGGAUGCCUUGACUUUUGCCUAAGUCAUUUUAUGGUAUUUGACUUAGCGGGUUUUUUAUUUUUUAAAGGUGUUGACUGCCACAUUAUCGGUGGAUAAGGAUCAACCAACACUAAUUUUAGCUUUUCUUAGCUUCUUCGACACUUCAACAUGUGCGCGAAGGAUAACAUGUGGUUGAACCUAAUUGGAGGGUGUACAUAUGGACGAUUUUUUUGAAAGAUCGAAUGCAUGAUCAAACUAUCUGAACAUAACUACCCUGCCCCAGGUUAAGAUUAAGGGUUUUAGAUCCGAAAUAAACACCAACUUCUAGGCUCAAAGUGGUUGUCUAGGGAUUAACUCCUUAUCACUCUAGUGUUUGGGGAUUUGAAACAAUGCCUUACAUCCUCGACAAGGUUUUACUCAAAAGCAUACCAUAACAAUUUCAGGUGUUCCGUUUUCAUCAUCCUCCUUCCAAUCUUUGUUAACACAACGGUUUGAUAAACAAAAGUGAAUGAGAGGAGUAUUUUUGUUUUUUAACAUAAAUGAAAAACGAGUGAAUACGAAUGGAUUAAUUCAAAAGAUGCAUAAACAUUUCAUUAAUCUUACCAAUUCAAAGAAAACAACAAUGCUUAAAAGCAAUUAAUAAUCAACAUGCAAGGAAACUACAAAAGAGAUGCUAAAACAGCCAAAUGAUUGCCAGCUUUAGGGAAUUGACUUCUUCAAACUUGAAGGUUGGGAUCAACAAGCCUUUUUGACAUGAUGAUCUUCCAAUUCUUUUCUUUCAAUCUCAUCAUUGAACGUAACCCUCUUGGAUCCACUACUCACUUCUCCUUUUCUUUCAUUGGUAUGGGUUGUGACAUUGGAAAUCCAAGGCGGUAUCUCAACGCUCUUACCAGGAAACAACGAUAGCUCAUUAGCCACAUCCCUGACAUCUUCCUUGUGGAACAAAACCUUGAGGGGUUUCAAGGGUCCUUUCCCUUUCUCAUUACCUGGCCCAUAAAUCAAGGUAUAUGUACCUGAGCCUUCCUCCUUGAGUGUUGGUGACCUUAUGUCAAUCAAUCUUUGCAGCUUUAGCUUAAAACUCUUGCAUUCCUCGAUGGAGUGCCCCAUUGUUCCAGUAUGGUAUUCGCACUUGACCUUCGGGUGAUCUUCUUCAAAGAUUAAGCUCUUUUUGUUAAUCAGCUCUCGUACAAAGGCUUUCAGCGCUAAGCAAGAAUCUAGGUCAUGUCCCACUUCCCCUUUAUGGAAUUCGCAUGUUGCAUUUGGGUUGUACAAUGGCAGGUAUGGUGACACAUGUGUGAGAGCUCGAGGGAUCACCAACGCAUUCUGGAUCAGCUGUGGGUAGAGCUUGCUAUAUGGCACCGGAAUUGGGUCAUUGUGAUUUUUGUUCCUCUUGUUCUGAUUCUGAUCUUUGUUAUGAACCUGACUUCGGUGAUUUUGAGGAGGAAUAGCCUGAGGAUGUUGAUGAUGACGUCUUGAGGGAGGGCCAUAAGCCGGUAGACGAGGAGUUGCCAUAUAGAAUUUCCCUUGACUUGGGGUAACAUCAGAUGAAUGUGGGGUAGCAGUUCCCUUUGUUGCAGCAGUGUAUAUUGGGUGACCCUCUUUUCUCAACAAGACUUGCAGGGUUUCCAACACCCAUCUCAUUUGGCUCUUCAAAAGAUUAAGUUCCUCCUUCAGUGCUUCUUGGCUUUUCCUUAGCUCGUCCAUCAUCUCCUGAGACAUGGUUCUUUGUUCUAAACGCGUGUUGGGAAUCACUUUGCUGAUCAUGGACAAAGGGUGGAUGAGUUUUUUUUGUAUUUUGACAUGCAUUAUGAUGAGAUGCAGCUGCAAUGAAAUGUGAAUGAAUGCAAUGCAAGCCAUGCAUAUUUGUUUUUUCUCAAUACACAAGUUCAAAAGUAUGAGGUACUGAUGACUCUGAUUCUUUUCCAAGAAUAGGUUUUCACCGGGUAAGAUCUAAGGUUUUUCUUUGAAAGAGUUCCUAGAGUCAUGGAUCCAUUAGACUGUUUGUUACCUGCAGCAACUUACUUGUCGGGAAUCAACUCCAUCUAAAGAAUCUACUCUAAGUGAGGUUCUCGCAUCGAUCCAACGAGAAAUACAUCUCGCAGACCCACACUAUGCAACCAUCUUUCCUAGUUGGGCAAAGAACUAAGGUUCUACAAAUGGUUCUCAGAGUCAUGGAUCCUAAAGAAAAUAUCGAAGCUUACGGCAACUUACUUGCCGAGCGACAACAUCCUCUCAAGAAUCUACUCUAAGUAAGGUUCUCGUACCGACCCAACGAGAAAUACAUCUCGCGGACCCGCACUACUCAACCUCGUCCUAUCUUAUGUUUUUACUCGAGACUCGGGUAAAAAGUCUUUCCCACAAGGUUUGCAAUCAGAGUAUCCAAGUACCAAACCAUAAUCGAACCAAUACAACAGAUUCAUAUCAAUAUGAUAAUAGAGAUAGUAAAAACAAUAAAGAAAAGCCACAUAGGUAAACAAACAAAGGCACACAACGACCUAACUAGGCUUGACUCACUUAGAGAUUGUUGUCCCCAGCAGAGUCGCCAUCUGUCACACCUCGAAAAAUGGGGAUACGACUUUAAAGCGAAGCGCAAUCGCACGCUCGCAAUGAUGGACUGAACAGAGUCACCACCGAACUUUAUUUAUUCCUAAAAAGGAAAGGGGAAAUAUCGAUAAAACCUCUAAAAGAAAGGAUAAGAUAUGGUCAUCGCAACCAAUAUCAGGGUUCGAGAGUCGAUUACGCAAGGGGAAGGUGUUAGCACCCCUCACGUCCGUUGUACUCAACGGGAACCAUUAGGUUAGUUGUGUGUGUUAGUGUUAGUUGAAAUAUUAGGCUUUUCGAAUUAUUAGGUGGGAAAGAAUAAAUAGAAUCAAAAGAAAAGAGAAGAUGUUUUUGGAUUUUUUAACGAAGGACUAAACCUAAGUUUUUUAUUAGUGGGCCUGACAAGAUUCAUAAAUCCUGCUCCUACGUAUCUCAAAAGAGAAAUUAAGGCUUACGUAGUUCUGGGUAGAAAAAUGUUUGUUUGUUGGUCGAUUUUAGCGAAAGCUACUUUGUGUCAAAUCGACGAAAACAUUGUUGGACUACCCAAAACAGGUGGAGAAACAUUGCCUUGCAUUGUUUUGAAACAAAGUACCUUUCGUUUGUGAAAAGGUUUAAGAGAUCAAUCGCACGGCGGCGAGGAAAGAAAUUGAUUGAUUUGGUGUAUUUUGAGUGAUGGCGAGAACUUGGAUGAGCGAGAUAUACAUCUCGAAUCCUAGUCUCAGGAGUGCACGACAUACGCCAUGUUCCAUUUCCAUCUUUAUUGAAAAAGUAUUAAGUUAGGAAUUAGGUAUUUUGAAGUUUGAAAGACGAGUACUUAUGAGCUACAAGCUCUUACAGCUUGGGUCUAAUACUCGGGACUACGUCUGGACAUUCCACCCAGGCAGUCUGUUUCUUUCCAAUAUUGCUAAGAAAAUGAUUCGAAUAUUUACGAAUGCUUUGGAGGGAAGACGAAUAUUUAUGGCUUGCAAGCUCUUACAGCUUGAGCCUAAUAUUCGAGAUUACGACUGGAUAUUCCCUCCAGGUAAUCUUUUUCUUCCAACUUUAUUAAGAAGAGGUUUUGAAUCUUGGAGUGUGAAAGAGAAGACGAAUAUUUAUGGCUUGCAAGCUCUUACAGCUUGAGCCUAAUAUUCAGGAUUAUGACUGGAUAUUCCCUCCAAGAUAAUAUUUUUCUUCACGUUUUACUUAGAAAAUGAUUUGAAUACUUGAGUGUUUAAGAGAAGACGAAUAUUUAUGGCUUGCAAGCUCUUACAGCUUGAGCCUAAUAUUCGGGAUUACGACUGGACAUUCCAUCCAGGUAAUCUUUUUCUUCACGUUUUAUUUAGAAAACGAUUUGAAUAUUAAAUUAAAACAAUUAAAGUACCGAGGUUUGAAAUUAUUGAAAGUUAAGUUGAUGUUGCUUAAGAGCUCAUUGUAAGAAGGCCCAAGAGUAAGCCAUGUGAGGUUGAUGGCGAUGCUUAAAAGCAAUCGACUUACAAGGGUAUGGAAAUGGGCUCGACGUUGAAUCGAGAAUUAAGUGAUAUUUAUCAUUAUUACUCUUUUUAAUGUUUUUUUUUCCAUCAAGGAAAAUGAGAUGAUUCAUCAUGAUUGUAACAUACCUCACAUAUAAAAUCAAUAAUUCAUACAAAUAAACGGACAAGCACAAAUAUAAUAAUUCUCGUAAAUCCCAAAAAAUAAAUAAUUGCCUAAAUAAUAUUUAAAAAAAAAGAAUAAAUAAAGUAAAUGAUAAGAGAAACAUGUUAAUUGAUUAAAUAAGAAGACUAUAUAAUUAAAUAUGAGUUAUUAAUAAUAAUAAUAAUAAUAAUAGUAAAGAUUUAAUUGUUAAACAAAACUUUAUUUAAAUUAAAUAGAAUUUGUUUUUUUUUAUUUUUUGAAAGAAAAGGAAAAGAAAUAAAAGAAAUAAUAGAGUUUGAUGAUGAGGACACGUGGGGAAUAAACCCCUCCAAUUCCAACGGUCACAUGGGGUGACCGAGAAAAUAGCCAUUAAUGCAGAAGGAGAAACAAAACGGUACUCCUCCUUGGGCAGUGGGAUAAGAGUCAUCAUCAAUGACCUUAAAGCCUUGAUGAGAUCCACAUAAAAUCCCAACAGACAGCGAAAACACUCACCUCCACCUUAAACUCACUCUCUCUCUCUUGAGACAUUCGUCUCCUCCCUCACUCAAAACAAAUAGCAAGCUCAACAGGGACUCCUAACACAAACCAAACUCAGCACGACAGGCACGCAAAGGCAAACAAAAAUCACCAAAAUCAAAGAAAAAUAAACAAACAGGGGUCGACCUUGAAUACCGAAGAACAAGAAGGAACAAUCACUUACAGAGAAGUGAAUCAAGCAUGGAAAAACAUUACACAUACAUUCAGAAUUGAAAAAUGAAAACGAAGAAGGGGCAAGAAAGCUACCGGAUCGGGAUACUUUGGAGACAAAUGAACAGCUUUCUAGGGUUUCAGAUUUGCUUCCAGUAAUCAAAAAGGGUAUGCUCUUGGGAGUGCUUUAAGGGGCUCAGUUUGUUUGCCUCAAAUUGGUACCCAAUCUGAAGAGGAGGUAUGUUGGAAAAAAAAUGAAUCAGUUCCUGUAUCAAAAGCUGGAACUCUGGGGAGAGAAGCUUAUCAGCUUCGUCCAAAACCAGCAUCGAGCAAUGCUUAAGAAUGCAAACACACUUCUUAGUAAGAUCCAGUAUCCUUUCCAGCCUUGGUCAAGAAGGGCUUGGUGGUUAUCCACUGUACUUAUAUGGGCAAACGGCACUUGUUCCCUUAUUUGGUAGGAACUCCUUCAUUUCACUGGAUUUUAAACUCUUCUAACCUAGAUACUUCCUCUUCCACACAUUUAAUGAAAUCCGCGGAUAAGGUGUAUCCAUCAGGUUCGAGAGCUCCAACAUUGUUAUGGCAAGACCUUGGAAACUAUUUCCUGAGCUGGUGGUUGCAUUGAAAAGUCCAGAGGUGGGAAUAUUUUCUCGGCAGCUCGACGAGGUUGGAGGGUCAUCUGUGUGUAGACCUCAUUGGUUUCAGGGUCAGCAUGGUGAGUGGUUUAAGCCUCAACACUUUAAUCACCAUAUAUGCUCCAAUGGCCGAGCAGAUAAAGUGGAUACAGGAUACUGAUAGGGGAAACUUGAAAAUCUAGUUUUUUUUGAAAGUUCCUCUUGUUGAUAAUAAUGACAGUGACAUUGAAAGCCCACUAUUGAAGAAUUGCCAAAAGAGAUCUAAUAACGGUCCACUGGAAAACUAGUCCUUCUUCCGUAUCACCUUCUUAUUACUUGUUUCUCACUCUAAAACGCGAUUCAGAAUCGCAAUUGAGAUGCGAGAAUUUUCUUUCUAUUUUGUUGCUAUUUCUUUGCUCCACUGUAAGAACUUCUGCCUCUAUCUUGAUGCAUAGCUUUAUUCAAGCAAGUUGACAGUUGAUUUC